UCUGGAGGAAACGAUCAAAGAAUGGACAAAAGUCGGUCCAGAUGCCACGUUCCCAGCACUUGUUGAGCGCAGGUCACCCAGCGACAAGUUGGCAGAUCAAGUGGGACUCGACGGUAUUGUUCUUGCACCUUUAUUUGCAUUUUGGACGCUUGGAAGACUGCUUGAUUGGCAACCAAAAACCAGAGCCUGGCCGGUCCUAUCGGAGGAAUAUGCAAUAAGGAUCGCUCGCACUUGAAUGGCUCACGUCGAGCGCGGGGCCUUCGACAUGUCCAACGACAGCUGCGGCCUCCCCUUGGACACGGACGUACUGGGCCUGACUUGCAUCUACGCUCUGGUCUUCUCUGCGGGCCUGCCCUGUAACCUGCUGUCCCUCUGGGGUUUGUACCACCUGGGCCGCUCGGGUAGCGGCAGCUGCCAGCUCGUCUACAUCCUCAAUCUGCUUCUGUCCGACCUCCUGCAGCUGCUCACCAUGCCCCUGUGGAUCCUGUACCUCCAGGGUGCUCACCGCUGGCCCUACGGUCAGCUCACCUGCGAGCUGGUGGGCUACGUGUUCUACGUCAACAUCUACGCCAGUGUCAUGUUCCUGUGCCUGAUAGCGCUGGACCGCUGCCUGGCCAUCGUGUUCCCGCUGGGCAGCCGCAGGGUGAGGACGGUCCGGGUGGCCGCCGUGUCGGGAUUGGCGGCGUGGACGCUCACGUUUCUCUUCUGCCUUUUGGGACUCUUGCCUUCUCUUUUUGACUCGGAGCGACUACUGUGUCUGGAGCAGUACCCAGUCAGCCCCAGAUACGCCCACUUCAAGAUCACCACUGUGGCUCUGGGCUUCUUGUUGCCGUGCGCCAUCCUCGGCUACACGUCAGCCCACAUCUGGGUCACGCUGCGACACUCGCCGUCGCUGUCGGCCCACGAGCGUCACAAGAUCGUGGGCGUCCUGGUGGUCAUCACGGUCAACUUUAUGGCCGUGUUCGGACCCUACCACCUGGUGGGCGGCUACAGAUUCGUGUCCUUGCUGCAGGCCGACGAGCCGUGCGCGCGGGAGCGCUCCAUCUUCCUGCUCUAUCGCCUAUGCUACGGGCUGACCAGCCUCAACACGACGCUCGAUCCCCUCUUCUACAUCUUCCUGUGCGCCGACGCUCGGCUGGAGCUGCGAAGGUCGCUGCCCUGUUUGGGGCGAGGCCAAAACACUGGCGAAGAGACAACUGUGAGCACCAGAGCUCAGCCGGAUGCCCAGAGACACAAGGAAAGUGGACAGAAUCGUCUUCUAAUAGCCUAAAUGAACCCCAUGAUUUUUGGGUCCAGGGAGAAGAUUUUCCAAGGACCCCCUCGUAAUCCUCGCUCCAACUGAACAUAACAACUGAGUCCCCCCAUAGGAAUUAAAAAGAUGCCUACUUGAGAACAUUGGGGGGGGUUAAAGUCAUAUUUGUAAAGGAAAACAACUUAUUUUGUCACACUAAAAUUUCACAAUAUUGCGAAAACAAAGUCCGAUUUUUCCAAGAUAGUCCUAAUAUGGUAUUAAAGUCAAAGUUUAACAUGAGAAGAAAGUCCUAUUUUAACAAGUGAAUUUCAAAAAGACAAUUUUACUCUUGCACUAGUUAGUAUGUGUUCUAUUCUCUAUUUUCUCUAUUUGUAUUUGUUUUACUCUCAGCGGUUGCAAACCCCGAACACUUUUGUCAUUCCAUGAGUCGCCCCGAUUCUCCAAAACUUGAACUCAACGCAACUGAUUAUUGAAUGAAAAUCAUCUGAUCUCCUUGAUGUGAACAUUUCAUUCUCAGGCAUUGUCUUCUUUUUAGACAUAAAAAAAAAAGAAAUAAAAAUUUGCCUUGAAAAGAAGUCAUAUCAAGAAAAGACCUGCCUUUGUUAUAUGCAACUCUUACAGCAUUUCCCGAGUGUUCCGUGGACGGAUUGGAAACAAUUGCUUAGUUGGAUCAGGCAAGCGCUUUUUCAACGCCUUACUUAGAUCACGCGAGGGAAAUUACAUUUACUCGCUUCAUAAAGUUUUAGAGCCCAAGUCAGCAGCCGUCCAAAAGACUUUGACAGCUCGGUUUUCUUUGUAAAUGUUCUUCUUAUUAUUAUUAUUCAUCAGUUUAUUUGUUACGCAAAAUGAGUAAGUCCUCCAGUGAAGACGAGCCAGAGUCACCGUCCAUUCCUUCGCUUUUGGGAAGGCAACACGGCCGUGGCUACGUUGGCACCAUUUGCUAAACUCCCGACAAGGUUGCUCGGCCCGCUCGUCGGAAAGCGGCAGAGGGCGCAAAUCAACGAUCAGCCUCCCCCACCAAUCCAAAUUUGAUCCUGCCAAAUAAUCACAUUUUUUUGUAAUAAACGUACCUGCAAUCUGAUUAAAUGUCUUUGUUUUACAGUUAAAAUUGUUUUGGUUUUUUUGAAAUUUGUUGUGGAAAAGCCCAGCGUCUUUAAGGCAUUUGGGAUGAAUAAACGCGCUUUGUUGUAUUUCAAGCUAGUAGCGACUUGAGUGUCAUUCAGGCCGUCAGUGGAGUGAAGAAGAAGAAGAAGAAGAAGAAUCACACAAAACAAAGGAAAAACAAAGGAAAAAGAGAAUUUCAAACCAGCACAGACGACAUGUUUUUUUUUUUCCACUGGAGGAGGCGUGUGUUUUGUCCUCACCCCCUUCUUUGUGACACGGUGGUGAGUCUCAAUGGAGAACGGGAUGUUCAAGCGCUGCGUGCUCUUAGUUGCUCUUUUUAGAGCCCGUAAGUUACGUAAUUCACCUCUUCUUCUGCAGAAAAUGAAACGGAGAUGUCGUAACAUGCUUUUGUGUCUAUUUCAGACGGUACUGUGCUCUUCGCCAGCCUGGGCGAAAACGCGCCAGGUAAUGGCUGAUGCCAGCAAGCGAAUGGCGGUUGACCCCGGGGAAAACUUCUUGCAUCUGCACAUUUCCAAUGUGCGGCUCUCGGACACGGCCAUGUACUACUGUGG